UGCAGGUGGUCAUAUAGACUAAGUGGUCAAGGUUAUCCAACCCACCCUUGUUUUUAUUGUCAUGGGUGAUGUCCAGCUUUCUUUGCUUUCCACCCACAGACAGGUCAUGGUGCAUGCUUGAAAGCAACAGCACAACUUAGGGCUUCUUUGGAACAUAGCAAACUAGACUUUUGACAUGGCUGAACUGAAAAAGUUCAGAAA